rnacentral:rRNA from 1 species
GAGUUUGAUCAUGGCUCAGGACGAACGCUGGCGGCGUGCUUAACACAUGCAAGUCGAACGGUGAAGCCCUUCGGGGUGGAUCAGUGGCGAACGGGUGAGUAACACGUGAGCAAUCUGCCCUUGACUCUGGGAUAACUUCGGGAAACCGGAGCUAAUACCGGAUAUGACACAUGGUCGCAUGGUCUGUGUGUGGAAAGAUUUAUCGGUCAGGGAUGAGCUCGCGGCCUAUCAGCUUGUUGGUGGGGUAAUGGCCCACCAAGGCGACGACGGGUAGCCGGCCUGAGAGGGCGACCGGCCACACUGGGACUGAGACACGGCCCAGACUCCUACGGGAGGCAGCAGUGGGGAAUAUUGCGCAAUGGGCGAAAGCCUGACGCAGCGACGCCGCGUGAGGGAUGAAGGCCUUCGGGUCGGUAAACCUACUUUCCAGCAGGGAAGAAGGCGAGAGUGACGGUACCGUGCAGAAGAAGCACCGGCUAACUACGUGCCAGCCGCCGCCGUAAG